rnacentral:rRNA from 1 species
CACCGCGGUUAUACGAGAGGCCCAAGUUGUUAGUUACCGGCGUAAAGCGUGGUUAAAAAUAAUUACUUACUAAAGCCGAAAGCCUUCAAAGCUGUUAUACGCAUCCGAAGUUAAAAAGACCAAUAACGAAAGUAGCUUUAUUUAUUUUGAACCCACGAAAGCCAUGGCA